rnacentral:lncRNA from 1 species
AUCAGGUGCGGGGAGGGCGUCCUUGCGCGUCGCGACGCUCGUGCUUCGGCGCCCAGUGAGUCUCGCUGCCGCGUCGGCUUCAGUGGCUGUCCUUUCUCGGCAGAGCGUAAAUACGAUUACCGACUUAGCAUGUUUAUAAAUAACUCGCCGCGUGUUUGAUUCGAAACCAUGUGCUCGCGAAAGUUCGGUAAUUAAAACCCGUCCGAUCCUUUCUCGCAAAAGUUCGACAGUUCCUCGUUUUAAAUCGCAGCGUUUUUAUCAAUCGUCAGAAAUGAGUACUUUCGGCACUAAUAGCUCAGGGCGCAACCGUAACAGCGCAGGUCCCGAAGAACAGUUCCUGUUGACUGAGCGACAUCGCAAUGGCAUUAUUGCCCCUCAUUCUAGAGGCAGCACUCUCGGCAGGCGUGGUAAGUGUUCUACUUCCUCUAUCACUCGACAGUAUCCUGCCUCGAGAAUUCAGAUGAAUAUCCCGCUCCAUCACGUUUGCCUAGACGUAAGUCAAUGCUUUCAUACUAGUGCACGCCUGCGAAAACUACGAUUCAAUCGUCGAUUCAACCUAUCCAUUUGUUAGAUAUUGAUCUCAAUCGGAUGAAAGGAAUCUCAUUUUCUGCUGAAAGAAACUCGCCGUCUGUGUGGUUCCGUACAGCUCAGAAGCGAAAUAAUAUCGAUUUUUUUUUUCUUCUUUUUUUUUCGGUUUUUUCAAUGUCAAUACCAGGAAUGAUGUUUUAGAAAAUGUUUUCUCGUUUAUACGUAUUAAAAGUUAGCGUCACGAAAAAGAGAGAAACCGCCUUAACAACGCAAUGCACCACCGCAUGUUAUUCACGCGGCUCAAGUGUAGAUGCCACCACAAUUUUUAACUCCUAUAAAUAGAAAAUCUUAAGGUUUGAUCUGAAAUAGUCAAUUAUACAAAGCGUCCUAAUUUAAGUAUUUGAGUUUUUAAGUCUACGAAACUAAGAGGCAUGGGCGAUAUUUGAACAUUUAGGAACUAUAGGAUAAGUUUAAUUUUUAGAUGAAUGCGAUUGAAACAAACACUAAAUAACGGACGAUCAGAUCUUUGAAAGUUAAGAUAAAGUAAGGAAAUUCGGUUUUUAACUCUGAAAUUUAUAUUGUCGGUCAGGUCAUACUUCGUCGCUAUUCUGACGUAAGGGCGUAUCUCGAUUUCCAUAUGAGCCUUGAAAAGCAUUGAUUUAUAUCGAGAACAGGGCUCACGUGGAAAUCGAGGAGCGACGACUUAUGUGCUACAACUGCAGAGCUUAAAGGCGCCCGGCAAGUUUG